rnacentral:rRNA from 1 species
CCUACGGGUGGCAGCAGUCGAGAAUCAUUCACAAUGGGGGAAACCCUGAUGGUGCGACGCCGCGUGGGGGAAUGAAGGUCUUCGGAUUGUAAACCCCUGUCAUGUGGGAGCAAAUUAAAAAGAUAGUACCACAAGAGGAAGAGACGACUAACUCUGUGCCAGCAGCCGCGGUAAUACAGAGGUCUCAAGCGUUGUUCGGAAUCACUGGGCGUAAAGCGUGCGUAGGCUGUUUCGUAAGUCGUGUGUGAAAGGGGCGGGCUCAACCCGCGGACGGCACAUGAUACUGCGAGACUAGAGUAAUGGAGGGGGAACCGGAAUUCUAGGUGUAGCAGUGAAAUGCGUAGAGAUGGAGAGGAACACUCGUGGCGAAGGCGGGUUCCUGGACAUUAACUGACGCUGAGGUACGAAGGCCAGGGGAGCGAAAGGGAUUAGAUACCCCAGUAGUC